rnacentral:rRNA from 1 species
AAUGCGUAGAGAUGUGGAGGAACACCAGUGGCGAAGGCGACUGUUUGGUAUGUAACUGACGCUGAGUGUCGAAAGCGUGGGAGCGAACAGGAUUAGAUACCCUGGUAGUUCACGCCGUAAACGAUGACUGCUAAGUGUUAGAGGGUUUACGCCCUUUAGUAGUGCAGCAAUCGCACUAAGCACUCCGCAUGUGGAGUACGGUCGCAAGAGUGAAACUCAAAGGAAUAGACGGGGGCCCGCACAAGCGGUGGAGCAUGUGGUUUAAUUUGAAGCUACGAGAAGAACCUUAACAGGUCUUGACAUCAUCUGACAACCCUAGAGAUAGGGCUUCCCCUUCGGGGGCAGAGUGACAGGUGGUGCAUGGUAGUUGUCAGAUGGUGUCGUGAGAUGUAGGGCUAAGUCCCGCAACGAGCGCAAGCGGCGAUGUUAGUUGACAGCAUUCAGUAGGGCACUAUAAGGUGCCUGCCGGUGACAAAUCGGAGGAAGGUGGGGAUGACGGCAAGUGAUCAUGGGCUCUACGACUAGGGCUACACACGUGUUGUAAUGGCGCAUACAAAGAGAAGCGACCUCGAGAGAGCAAGCGGACCUCAUAAAGUGCGUCGUAGUUCGGAUUGGAGUCUGUAACUGGACUCCAGGAAGUCGGAAUCGCUAGUAAUCGUGGAUCAGAAUGUCCCGGAGAAUACGUUCCCGGGCCUUGUACACACCGCCCGUCACACCAUGGGAGUGGGCGCAAACGAAGUAGGUAGCUUAACCUUCGGGAGGGCGCUUACCAGUCUGGAUUCAUGAGUGGGGUGAAGUCGUGACAAGGUAACC